UAUUUUUAAAUGAUACAAUCAUAAUUCAUGCUGAUGUUUUCUUAUUUUUAAUUUAAUAAUAAUUAACGAUUACGUGUUUUUUUUACUUGUAAUGACAAUACAGUGGAUUUGGGUUUGGAAAUAUUAAAACAACAUACGAUGAUUGAAUUUGAUGAACCAUAAAUAACUUGACAAUUUACUGUUUGUUUUUUUUUCUUAAUUGAUGAGUGCAUCUUCCCCAAGCCAGCAAAAAGCAUUUUCGUUGUGCCAAUGAUCCUGGUCUCCCUCUUGUUUGGAGCGCUCUCUGAUAAGAACGAUUACAUUUACAUUCAGUAAGACUCUCUCGCAUUGGCUUCGGGUUGAAUGCUCGUCUCGUUAGCUUGUUUUGACCUCAGCGGCGCAUGACAAGAGCGACUUGAACUUUGAACGUUGUUCCCAUUCGGGAGGAGAGCUUACUUUGUGGUCAUCUGCUGCCCCCUCUUGGUGAGGACUGUGUAUCACAAUGGGAACAAAGCUUACUUUGUGGUCAUCUGCUGCCCCCUCUUGGUGAGGACUGUGUAUCACUGUUGCAAGAAGUGAACCGCAAUAUCGUGAACCGACAUCCGUACUCGUCGUACUCGCUCAAGACGGGACGGUUUGGGCUUCGCGGGCGUGUUUUGAGUCUGUGGCUCAUCUGGUUCUCCUCCUUGAGGACGUGUGGACCCUGCUCCCCCCAGGCGCGGGGUUCUGCGGACCGUUGGUGCCGGUCCUGCCCGAAACCUUCAUCCUCGGACGCGGAGAAGCCCGGAUGUUCUAAAAGACGUGACGUCACAAUGGCUCGACGGGAACUGCAAGGUGGGAUCAGCAGGUUACAACAGAGACUGCAAGAGUCACAGAAAGACCAUUCUCAAAAAGUUCAGCACAGAUAACAGCACCCCCGCCACCCUCCAAAAAAAAUGCAAGCAUGGAAAGAAACAAAGCAUCGCUUACCGUAAGCAUUCCCCGGAAGAAUUGUGUGCCCCUUAAGCUGACUCGUGGCGGCUGACAAUGUCAAAGUCAAAGUUUGCUCCACCUGGGCCGGUGGUGCGCAAGGUGACGUUUCAAGCGCAGGACGGCUGUUGUCGCUGCGUACAUAUGAGCCGUAAAGAGUCUAUUUCUGUGCGCAGCUGUUCCCAUAAGCAUUGCGACCCUGAGACCAGUCGGAAGAAGCUUUAGAAUGGAACGUACGGUCUGCGACACCCCACCCCCUCCCCCCACCACCACUACCACCACCUCCGCCCCCAAAAAGUCAUAUAAACACUCGCCAUUGUUUUGCCGCUCAAGGUUCAAGGUUUCACUUUUCUCCUUGGGAGGAAUUGGCCUUGGAAUGAGGGACAGCUGCAUACGUGAUCAGAAGCGAUCAGCCAUUUUCAUAAGAAAGUCGCGUCACCAAACUACUGACUUGUAGAUGACUGGACUAUCAAGAGGCCCCAUGUGGCUGAAGCCAGAGGGCGGCCAUCUUAAGUUGCCAUUGUUACUGAACACUGGCGAGAAAUCAAGGGAUUACUCUAAAAUGGUUCAAUAAUUUUGUUGUUUACGAUGAUACUAGUGCAGCGUGU